rnacentral:lncRNA from 1 species
GUGGACGAUAGCCUGUUUUUAUAAAUAAAUAAUUAAUGAUUAUUUCAUAUAAAUAUUUAAAAACAAAGGAGAAAAAGAAGAAUAACCUAUUUUAGGUAAGUGAUAUUUUCGGCGGUAGACUGCUUUCCGCAGCCUCGACGUGGGCUGAGCACGCGACCAAGAUCGCCAAAUGUCGUAACUCGCUGAUCAGAGCGCAGAGAGCCACAGCUCUUAGGGUUACCCCCGCGUACCGCACCGGCUCAACAUCGUGUACAGGGUUAGAUUAAGCCAGCAUAAUAUCAGGAAGUGACGCGGUCCUACCUCUCACCUUAGUUUUAAUUAGUAUAGUCAAUAAUGUGAACCUACUCCGUGAAGGGGAAAACAGGAUUUUACAAAGCAUUACUUAAUUAUAAUCAUUAAUAAACAAUAGCAUUAAUAAGGUAGCAAUGUGAAAAACUGAUUUCCCACUGCUGUCAGUUAACCAGAAAAAAGAAAAAAGGUAAGUGAUAUUAAUCUAAAAAUCAGAUGUUUAUGACUAAAAAUUCAUAACAAUAGGUAUUUAAAAAUGUAGAAAUAUAAAAAAUUAGGCGGGACAUGUGUGGAGGUCAGAGGAAAUUAUUGGAUCAAUAACUAAAUGGAAACCCGACAUUAAAAGGCCUCGAGGACGCCCCAGACAAAGAUGGAAUACGAUAUAAUACGGGAAGACUUAGGACUUCUGAACGUAAGAAACGCAGAAGAAUGUGCAAAUGAUAGAGAGGGAUGGAAACAAUACAAAUGUUGUUGCGGCGAUGGGCCUUAAAGGCCUGUAAAAGCCCAGAAGAAGAAGAAAUAUGCAAAAAUAUUCUUAUUUUGCAACAAAUAUAUGCAUAAAACGAAUUAAUUAUUUUAUUAAAAAAAUACAAAGAAAUAAUAAUUAAUAAAAAAUUAAACACCUUCCUUCACUUUAUGCAUUAUUAAAACAGUUAGUUCGAAUAAUAUAAUCAAAAACGAUAAGACAUUUCGCAAAUGUUGCAUAUUUUGAAUAGCUUUAUCUAGAAGCAUAGACGCAUUUUCUAAUGAAAUAUCAGUACUUUGUAAUACUUUAGAUAUAGUAUUCAGAUAUCAAAUGAAAAUGUUAUCGUAUCUGUGCCCGUUUAUUCUAAAACCAUCUUAAUAAUAUACAUUUUGGUAGGUACUACUAUAAUUCCAUACUACUAAUAUUUUAUUAUUAUCUAUUUAAUACUUAUGCCUACAAUAAAUUUAAUUGAAAAGCAACUACAUAAAAUCGAAAAAUAUUCGUGGCAUGAGCUACAAAGAAGUCAAAAAUAUUUAAAACAGAUAAUUUUCAAUUUUAAUUUUUGUUUUUUGGGGGCCCCUUAGAACUAGAAGCUCGUGUGCAUUGCACACCUUGCAAACCCAAUUGUUGCAGCACUGAGUUUAAAGUUAAUUAUUCUUCUAUAUUGUGCCAAAAAAUGUUAAACAAAUACUCUUGUGUAUUACUUUCAAUGCAAAAGGUCGUAUGUCCAAUCUCAUCCGAAAUGGAUGUUGUGUCAUUUUUUUAUUGUUAGUCUAUUAUCCUUUGUUCAUACAAGUUUUUUAAGCUCCAAAACCUAUUAUAUCAUAUUUAAUUUUCAAUUAAAAAAUUGAAUGUAGUGGCAAAACAGUGUAAGUCCAUUGGUACUUGCAUACCAAAAAGUAGUAUAUCCUGGGUAAAAUAAUAAAGCUGCAAAACUAGGUAAAUCCGUAUGCAAUGGCAUUGACUAACUGUACGAACAAUAACAAUAGUUAGUAAGGUAGGUACUCUGUUUAUCGAUUCUAUUAUUAUUCUUGAAGUUAUUACCGAGUUUUACUAGGUUCUUGGUUUAAUAUUAGGUAUAUAGAAAUCAUGUUG